UUUUAUGAGAAGGUGGCCAGAGUGAUGAACUCGGACCAGGAAAGGCCGUAUGUGUGCAACGCUCCUGGCUGUUCUCAGAGAUUCCCCACGGAGGACCAUCUGAUGAUACAUAGACACAAACAUGAGAUGACCCUUAAGUUUCCCUCCAUAAAGAACGACAACAUGUUAUCAGACCAGACACCCACACCAACACGCUUCUUGAAGAACUGUGAGGAGGUGGGAUUGUUCAGUGAACUGGACUGCUCCAUUGAACAGGAGUUUUGCAAGGCCCAGGAAGAAGAGGACAGUAAACAGAGCAUCUCAUUGCACGGCCAGACAGGCCAAGGCCAGCACCAGCAGUCCCACUCACGGAUGGGCAACCAUGAUACCAGCAUAGUGAUCCAGCAGGCCCUGCCAUCUCCUCAGUCCAGCUCCGUCAUCACUCAGGCUCCAUCGACUAACAGACAGAUAGGGCCUGUCCCUGGCUCUCUUUCCUCAUUGCUGCACCUACGAAACAGACAGAGACAGCCACUGCCAGCCUCCAUGCCUGGAACUCUGCCAGACCCGACCAUGCCUGGCUCCUCCGCUGUGCUGAUGCCAAUGGAGAGACAAAUGUCCAUGGGAUCCAAUAUGAUGGGUAUGCAAGGACCCACCCACAGCAGCUCCUGCUCUUCCACUCACAUUCCCUCCAUGCACUCAGAAGCCAAACUGAGGCUGAAGGCUGCACUUUCACACCACCCGGGUACCAUUUCCAACGGCAACAUGAACUCCAUGGGCCACAUGAUGGAGAUGAUGUCAUCGCGGCAGGAGCAAGGCACCCACCAUCACAUGCACUCGCACCCGCACCAGCACCAGCACCUCCAAGCCCCUCCUCACGCAUACCAGCACCACGGCCACCACCACCACAACCAGGGCCACGGCCAGGGUGGACACCACCACCCGCAAGGACACAACCCCCAUCAAAACUCCCACAAUCCCCACCUACAUCCUGGGCACCCACACCAGACCUCACCGCACCCUCCAAUGCACUCUGCUUCUCAUAUGUCACCUGCAACCCAGCAGAUGCAUCCCACGCAGACACUGCAGUCUCCUCCACCCAGCGGUGGCCGGCGCAGGCGAGUAGUGGAUGAGGAUCCGGAUGAACGUCGGCGGAAGUUUCUGGAGCGGAACAGAGCAGCGGCAACCAGAUGCAGACAGAAGAGAAAAGUGUGGGUGAUGUCAUUAGAGAAGAAAGCAGAAGAGCUCACUCAGACCAACAUGCAGCUUCAGAAUGAAGUGACCAUGCUAAAGAACGAGGUGACCCAACUCAAGCAGCUUCUCCUCACACACAAGGACUGUCCCAUCACCACUAUGCAGAAAGAGUCCCAAGGUUACCUCAGUCCAGACAGCAGUCCGGCAGGCAGUCCAGCUCCAGUAUGCUCCCAGCAGCAGGUCAUUCAACACAACACCAUCACCACCUCCACCACAACCAUAGGGGGAAGCAGUGUGCACGGACAAACCAAUCACCGCACAGACAUUAACCCCAUCCACUAGGUUCAAGAGAGACUAUGACCCCUGCCCAAGCUCCCCCUGCUACUCAGCUUUCUGAGGGUUGCCAACUGCACAUGCUGGCCCCCCCUCUCCCUCCAUCAAGAGAAACCUCAAAGGCCUGUGAGGCUGUUCUUUAUACAGUAGCUACAGUAUGUAUUUUUAUAGACCAACCCUAUUAACCCAUAAAUGUUCCAUGGUUUGUUGCCUCUUUCUUAUCUGUUUUUCAUGCUUUUAGCAAAAAGGGAGUUUUUGCUAAUCUCAUGCGGCAUUUAAGUGAAUUUUUCCGUUGUGUAAUGGUACAAAAUGGACCACAGUGGUCAUGGACCCUGAGGACAGAAACAUAAGCCUCAGACUGCCAUCUUUAUUAGAAGACCUUACAUCUCUUUAUGCCGAAUGGACUGAAAAAACAAAAGUCAACUCUUUCUCUGAAUAUUACAUGUAGACAGUGUGUUGAGUGUAUGCAACAGACACUUUAUGAGUGGGAUGUUGCUGCCUUUAAGUGGUCUUUUGAAACCAAGUCAAACUGUCACCACGAUGUCUUGAAGACAGGAAUAUGCAAGCAGGUGUAACGAUCCUUUUCUUUAAUUGAAGCGUAUAUGACUGUUAACCAUUUCCCUGUCAGCGGUACUCUUAAAGCGAGUCAUAAAAUACAGCACGACAGCGAAAACAUGAUGAAAGCAAAACA